rnacentral:rRNA from 1 species
ACACAUGCAAGUCGAACGCGAAAGCCCGCAAGGGUGAGUAGAGUGGCGCACGGGUGAGUAACACGUGGACAACCUGCCUUCGAGUGGGGAAUAACCUUCCGAAAGGAGGGCUAAUACCGCAUAACACCUCGGGACACAAGUUCUGGGGUUGAAAAGAGCAAUUUGCUCGAAGAGGGGUCCGCGCCUGAUUAGCUAGUUGGUGAGGUAACGGCUCACCAAGGCUUCGAUCAGUAGCCGUCCUGAGAGGGAGCACGGCCACACUGGAACUGAGACACGGUCCAGACUCCUACGGGAGGCAGCAGUGGGGAAUUUUUGGCAAUGGGCGAAAGCCUGACCAAGCAACGCCGCGUGGGUGAUGAAGUAUCUUGGUACGUAAAACCCUUUCGGCAGGGACGAACCUAAUGACGGUACCUGCGGAAGAAGCCCCGGCUAACUCCGUGCCAGCCGCCGCCGUAAAACUGA